rnacentral:rRNA from 1 species
GACGAACGCUGGCGGCGUGCUUAACACAUGCAAGUCGAACGGAAAGGCCCUGCUUUUGUGGGGUGCUCGAGUGGCGAACGGGUGAGUAACACGUGAGUAACCUGCCCUUGACUUUGGGAUAACUUCAGGAAACUGGGGCUAAUACCGGAUAGGAGCUCCUGCUGCAUGGUGGGGGUUGGAAAGUUUCGGCGGUUGGGGGUGGACUCGCGGCUUAUCAGCUUGUUGGUGGGGUAGUGGCUUACCAAGGCUUUGACGGGUAGCCGGCCUGAGAGGGUGACCGGCCACAUUGGGACUGAGAUACGGCCCAGACUCCUACGGGAGGCAGCAGUGGGGAAUAUUGCACAAUGGGCGGAAGCCUGAUACAGCAACGCCGCGUGCGGGAUGACGGCCUUCGGGUUGUAAACCGCUUUCGCCUGUGACGAAGCGUGAGUGACGGUAAUGGGUAAAGAAGCACCGGCUAACUACGUG